rnacentral:rRNA from 1 species
UACGGAGGAUGUAAGCGUUAUCCGGAUUUAUUGGGUUUAAAGGGUGCGCAGGUUGUUUGAUAAGUCAGUGGUGAAAGUCUGUCGCUUAACGGUAGGAUUGCCAUUGAUACUGUUGGGCUUGAAUAUGGAUGAGGUAGGCGGAAUGUGUAGUGUAGCGGUGAAAUGCAUAGAUAUUACACAGAACACCGAUUGCGAAGGCAGCUUACUAAUCCAUCAUUGACGCUGAGGCACGAAAGCGCGGGGAGUCAAACAGGAUUA